GCAGGAGGAGGAGGAGGAAGAGGAAGUGGCCCCUCUGCUUUACGGGGCUGUGAUUCCAGUGGUAAAUGCGGAAAUACGGCUUGGCUGAGUGCCGCGUUCGGCCAGGGCCAGCUCCCAGGAACAGCCGGGCUGCGAGGCCAUGACCCAGGGCCUGGGAACACAGUGAGGCCUGGCCAUGCUGCGAGGCCUCAGAGGGGCGGACUGCUUAGGAGGCCAACGACCUUCCUAAGGGUGGGCAGUCAGGGAAGGGCCAACAGCAUGCCCGCUGUGUCCUCAGGCGGGCCCUCCCUCCCUGGGACCCUCCCAGUGCCAGCCUCCUGCCUGGGCCAGGCUGGGAGCUCCCUGACUGCUCUGGUCCCUGGGCUGCUCCCACGAGCCUGACUCUGACGGUGUCUGCUGCACAUCAUCCGCGGAGUCCCGAGUUUCGGCCACUGCGGUCGUCCCCAUUUCACAGCCAGGAAACAGAGGACAGGGGAAGUCAACUGGAGGUCACGCGGUGAUUCCGUGGCCUGUGGUGUCUGGAAAACUUUGAAUUCCAUGACUGUCUGGGGCCAAAAACGAUGAGUGCACAACAAGAAAACCCUCCCAGGAGGCCUGGGCAGCCAGGACGCGCAUCUGUGCAGGACCCUCAGCGGAGGUGCGGCCAGCGGACCUGCACCUAGAGCUCCCGGCAUGCCCAACCCUGCAGGUUCAGUGUCCUUGUCAUUCCCCAUGAGCCAGAGGCACGUGACGCUGGGGGCUUCAUCCUGUGGCCACAGGAAGGCUCCAGAACACUUUAGACAGAGUGACAGGGUCAGAGGUGUUUUUAUUUUCAUGUUUUAAUUUUGUUCGAGAUAAGAGUCUUGCUCUAUCGCUCCAGCUGGAGUGCAAUGGCUUGAUCUCCACUCACUGCAACCUCCGCCUCCCGGGUUCAAGCAAUUCUCCUGCCUCAGCAUCCCAAGUAGCUGAGAUUACAGGCGUGCACCACUACGCCCGGCUAAUUUUUGUAUUUUUAGUAGAGACAGGGUUUUGCCAUGUUGGCCAGGAUGGUCUCGAACUCCUGACCUCAAGUGAUCCACCUGCCUUAGCCUCCCAAAGUGCUGGGAUUAUAGGCGUGAGCCCCUGCACCUGGCCCAGAGGCACUUUGCAAGAAGGGCUGAGAGGGGCAGGGGAGUGCAGUAGGGAGCUACUUGGGGAGCAGGCGGCCUGCCAGGGCACAGGUGACAGUGACAGUGUCAAGGGUGGCAAGGUGUUGAGGAAGCCACUCCUAGGAGGUGGUCACUGGUGUGGAGGGCAGAGGGGCUGUUAGGCCACGCACAGAUUUCUGGCUUAGAAAUAACUGACUGGCAGGCGAUGCCCUACACCAAGACAGGGAGCACUGAGAGAGGUCAGGCUUCAGGGCAGUUUGGGGAUUCCUGUGAGGCACCCAAGUUGGCAGCUCAGGAGGCAGGGGGCAGCUGGAGGCAGCAUGGGAGACACUGGCGCCUGGGGAUCCGGAGAGCACCCAGGGAGGGUGGCAGGCUGGGAAGAGGCUGAAGCCAGCAAGGGGCCUGGAGAAGGUCAGGGAGGCUUGUGUCAGGAAGAGAGAAAGAGAGGCCAAGUACAUCCCACACAUGCACAUGGGCCAGGCAUGGGCCAUGCAGGCUAGGAUGGAUGCCCAGGAGGUGCUGCGGGGAUGACCACCCCACCCCCUGCCCCAGCUCCUCCCCGCAGCUUCGGAAUUCCCAGGCAGCCCAUGGGCCUAGAGACCCUGCUCGGAUAAGGAAAGGAAAAAAUACAUUCUUUGUGUCCCUUUCCCACAAGCCGCUACAAUCAUCAUCUUUGUUCCCUGAUUGCAGCAAAUGAUAGGGAAAUGGACGGCCGUUCGAAUUCCUGUUGAACUUUUAAGAGAAGUCCCCUCAGAGCCCUGGGGAAGGGUGGCAAGCUGUGGGUGAUGGAAGCUGGCCGGCGGGGAAGGGCUCCAUGGAGCGCUGGCCUGUAUGCGUCCGUGGGGAGCUAACUGGAAAAUGAAGCUUCCACAAGGACAUGAGGCUGGCUUUUAGAACGGGCUUGAAACCAAAAGACACAGGCAAGAUGCCCUCCAUGGGGAAAAGUUGGGAAAUAAUUGUCAGAGAAGGUCAAAGGUGCUGGCGCCAUUGUCCUGGGACGCCUCCUGGCUCUGCCGACCUUGUCUCUGCCAACCUUGACUUUGCCGGUGCCGAGUUGGUGUAGGAUGGGCCCCAGGCCCGGGACAUCUGCUUCUCUCACUUCUGGCUUUGUCUCCACCUCCACCUCCACCGCUCCUGAUUGUCCGAGGGAGUAACAAGAAACUCACACACGCAGACAUGUACAUGUGUGCACACAAAUAGCACACACACCCAUAUGCAUAUACAGAGACAUGCACAGGUGCUCACUCACAUAUACAUGCAACACACACGGGUGCAUUCAUGCAUGCACACACAGGUAUGUGUGUACACAGACGUGUGCAAGCACAUAUGCGUAUUUGUACAUGCAUAUACACAUGUGCUAACACAGGUGCCACACACGUACACAUGUGCACACACAUGCCUGCUCACAUGUACCUGUGCACACACGUGCCUGCUCACAUGUAUGUGUGCGCACACACACACAGACACAAGCACAUGCCCUUGUGCACACAGGUAUGGCAGGCCCAACGUGGCAGGCAGGCUUCACCAGGUACUUGGUGUGGAGCUGGUUGCUCCCACUCCUGCCUUUCUCUGCUGAGCAAGGAGGUGGAGCCGUGGCCUUGGGGAACUCCCAACUCCCAUCUCUGGGCGGCACACAGACCCCUGCUGAAAGUCGGACAGAUUUGCUCACUCUGGUUUCUGGGAUUCCAAGGGCAGACUGCAGGGAUCUCCCAGCAACGUGAGAGGGCACGACCCUGACAGACACGCCAUUCCUCUUUCUGUCAACCGGUGGAAUCCAAGCAAGAGCAGCCCCUCACCGGCCGUGUGGUCACGGCUGCCUUAGGCCACCUUCCUGCCCUCCUGUCCCUCGCUCCAGGGUGUGCCAGGCGUGUUCUGAGUGUGGGCGCAGGCAGCACCAGGCUCGAGAAGGAGUGAUGUACAGAUGGACAGCUGUCCUGCCUACUGGCCUAAGCGGUCAGUCCCUCAGCUACAUGGGCCAGGGCCAUGGGAGGCUCCAGAAACAAGGCCACUGCCCACAGCACCGGCAUUUGCAGUAGGUGUGUGGAAGCAGCUGCAGGCCAGAGGCAGGAGCCAGGGAAAUGUGGCGCCCAGGCCGUCUUGUCCCCUCUGGGCCUCCAUGUCCCCACCUGCACCGUGGCUCGAUGGAGCAGGACAUCUCCCUGGGGGUGGCAGCCACGUUGCCCUCCCGCCAGGAGCCUCCCGUGAGCCCCAGGGCACAGGCCCGCUUCCCCUCCAGGGCUGUACAUUUGCCUUUUAGGAGCCAGAGUUGAGCAGCUCCUGGCUGGGUGUUGGGAACCGUGCCCCAGGCCCAUGGACAGCACAGCCAGCCUCUUGGAAGUCUCAGAAAAUGUAUCACCCGUCACAGGGAUGGUUUCCUGUCUCUGCAGAUACUUCACUCUCCCCUCCCCCGACUCCUCCUCCUGGGCCAUUUCCCAGAAGCGCUCAUCCCCAUGCCCACACGAACACAAACCUCCACGCAGCACUGACCAAGAGCCAGGCCCUACCCCAGGACCUCACAGAUGUCACCUUCGCGGUCCUUUCAGCAACCGAAUGAGGUAGGCCUAUCAUUAUCCCCUCUUCACAGAUGGGGAAACCGAGGCACGGAGCUGUGAAGUGACUUGCCCAAGGCCCCACCGGCAGCCAGUGGCAGAGCCAGGUGCCCCCCAAGAUGUUCACGCCCUAAUCCUCAGGAUCUGCAGACAUGUCACCUUUCAUGGCAAAAGGUCUUUGCAAAUGUGAUGAAACAUCUGAAGAUGGCAAGAUUCUCUUAGGUGAUCUCAGUGGGUCCCAGGUAAGCACAAGGGUCUUUAUGAGAGGAAGAAGGUAUUUGUUGAUGUCUCUUUCAUUCCUGCUGAUCACUUGAUGAAUACGGAGUUGGCCAGAUUUCUCCACUGAAAAGUUACUGUGUUUCCUUUUGUCAUUAACAAGCAUCUUGUUGGGCGAUACUUUGAGACUUUGUAAAUAUCCUAUUACUCAAAUUUUCACCCGCUAAUUUUAGCAUCCUUAGAUGACUCCACCUGGAUGGGUUAUUAUUAUAAUGGUUAUUAAAUGGUGAUUCCAUCA